rnacentral:rRNA from 1 species
AACGCUGGCGGCGUGCCUAACACAUGCAAGUCGAACGGAGAUUAGACGCUGACGAGACUCGGUCAAAUCUUGUUAAUCUUAGUGGCGGACGGGUGAGUAACGCGUGGGCAACCUGCCUCAUACUGGGGGAUAGCAGUUGGAAACGACUGAUAAUACCGCAUAAGCGCACAGCAUCGCAUGAUGCAGUGUGAAAAAACUCCGGUGGUAUGAGAUGGGCCCGCGUCAGAUUAGCUAGUUGGUAAGGUAACGGCUUACCAAGGCGACGAUCUGUAGCCGGACUGAGAGGUCGGACGGCCACAUUGGGACUGAGACACGGCCCAAACUCCUACGGGAGGCAGCAGUGGGGGAUAUUGCACAAUGGAGGAAACUCUGAUGCAGCGACGCCGCGUGAAGUGAAGAAGUAUUUCGGUAUGUAAAGCUCUAUCAGCAGGGAAGAAAGGCUCGUAAGAGAGAUGACGGUACCUGACUAAGAAGCCCCGGCUAACUACGUGCCAGCAGCCGC